AGCUCCCGCAGAACCCGCCAAUAAUCCAAGAAAGUUUUUUUUAUUAUUUAUUUAUUCAUUUAUUUAUUUAUUUAUUUAUUUUCAUCGCAUAACGAUUUUCUUCCUCUUUUUAGCCACUCAAGAGAAUGAAAGUAUUUCAUCUCUUAGUCAAACUCCUUCGGCAAGUUUUAUAAAAGAUGCCCCCUCUUCAAUGGAGAGUGAUGACGGGAAUACUCAUGUUGAGAGUGUACCUUGCGAUAGCAAAAAUGCUAACAUUGAGAGCAUGCCUCAUGAUAGUGGUAACGUCAAUGUUGACACCACACUUCCAGCAAUGCAGAAUGAAGUCGUCCAAGAAAUUGCCAAGGACAUUCAUACUCCCACCAAAGAAUUAGAAAGUGGUGACUCUAAUGCCGAUGUCGAGGUUCAAAGAAUAUACCAAAUGUAGUGUUACGCCUGUGAGACGAGAUGAUUAAUAAUAUCAAGUCCCUCGACUAUCACAACUAUCAAGGCAUCAUCAACAAAGUCAAGGAGUCAAAAUUACUUUUUGAACCUUUCAACAUUGAUUUGACCAGUCUAGAGCCUUUCAUAGAGAAGAUCGCUCGAUGUGCAACCUAUGCUAAAGAAGCCUUAGAGGAUCCUAAUGUUCAAGCUUGUAUCCAUAGGCAACAAGCCAAGGCAUGCGUGCAUGAAAGAACUUUGGAACUUGAGCGUCUUAACAAACUCAGGGCAGACUGGACCAAUGACAUAAAUGCAAAUAAGGAGGAAUAUCAGAAACUUGCUGAGAGGGAACAUCAACUUUAGGCCGAGCUUUGUGAGAUUCAAGGCACAGUGAAGACUCUGAGUGAAAAGAUAGCGGAUUCAACGGGCCUGAUUGAAGCUUCCGAGCCUACACAAGCGAAUCUUCAAGUUGCAUUGGAUGAGGCCAAGACACAGCUCGCUGAGAAUCAAGAAGAGAACUUAGAUGCUCCUCUUAUGGCUAUUUUCACAAAAUGGCUUGAUGAGUUGGAGGAAUUAAAAGAAUCAUUGUUGAAAUUUACUAGGCAUUAAAGAGCCUUCUUUCUUUCUUUCUUAAUUUGCUUUCCUAGUUUGUUUUAUUA